rnacentral:rRNA from 1 species
CCUACGGGAGGCAGCAGUGAGGAAUAUUGGUCAAUGGACGGAAGUCUGAACCAGCCAUGCCGCGUGCAGGAAGACGGCUCUAUGAGUUGUAAACUGCUUUUGUACAAGGGUAAACCUGGAUACGUGUAUUCAGCUGAAAGUACUGUACGAAUAAGGAUCGGCUAACUCCGUGCCAGCAGCCGCGGUAAUACGGAGGAUCCGAGCGUUAUCCGGAUUUAUUGGGUUUAAAGGGUGCGUAGACGGGUUGAUAAGUUAGAGGUGAAAGGUUCGGGCUUAACUCGGGAAUUGCAUCUAAUACUGUUAAUCUAGAGAGUAGAUGAGGUAGGCGGAAUGUGUGGUGUAGCGGUGAAAUGCUUAGAGAUCAUACAGAACACCGAUUGCGAAGGCAGCUUACCAAUCUAUAUCUGACGUUGAGGCACGAAAGCGUGGGGAGCAAACAGGAUUAGAUACCCGUGUAGUC